rnacentral:rRNA from 1 species
GAAUAAAUCUUUAAGUUUGUUAUUAUGUGUUUUAAGUUUAUUAUUUGAAAUAACUUUAAAUUAUUAGUUUUAGUAUAGAAAUAGAAUGAAUUUGGUUAUUUAUAGUUUAUUAGUAUCGUGAGAGAAAAUUGAAAAAUUUUGAAAAAUUAUUCGUAGGGAAGUAGACGUAUGUUGUACCUUGUGUAUCAGGGUUUAUUAAAUUUAGAUAAGGAUUUAUUUUUCCCGAGUUAAAAGGAGCUAAUUAAUUAUAUUGGUUAAUGUAUUAUUAUUAUCACUAAUAGUUAAUUUGUAAUGAAAUAUUAGUCGGUUUUUAAGAUAUCUGGUUUUCCAAGAAAUGAAUUUAAUUCAGUAUUUAACGGUAAUUUUUGAAAUUGUUCAUAAAUUAUUAGUUUGAUGUAAUAUUCUUAGGGAUAAGCUUUGGAAUAGAAUUUAAACUUUAUAUGGAAUGAUAUUAAAAAUUGUAGGCUUUUAAUUAGCCAUCAUUUGAAUAAUGUUAUAAAUUAUUUUAUUUUAAUAUAAUUUUAUAAAGAUGUUAAAUGGUGUAUUGGAAUAAAUUAGAGAAUAGAUGUUUAGUUGUAAUAAUGAUAAAAUUAGUAUAUGUAAAUUGUAAAGUAUUUUUAACUGUUAAUUUAUAAAAAGGAACUAGGCAACAUAUUAAUAUUCGCCUGUUUAUCAAAAACAUGGCCUUUUGGGUGGAAUUUAAGGUCGGGCCUGCCCACUGACGUAGUUGAAGGGCCGCGGUAUUUUGACCGUGCAAAGGUAGCAUAAUCAUUAGUCUUUUAAUUGAGGGCUGGAAUGAAUGGUUUGACGAAAUAUUAACUGUCUCUUUAUAAUAAAUGGAAUUUAACUUUUGAGUCAAAAGGCUUAAAUGAAUAUAAAAGACGAGAAGACCCUAUAGAUCUUUAUAUAGUUAAGUAAUUGUUUUAUUUAGUUGUUUUAUUUUCAAUUAUUUUGCUGUAUUUUGUUGGGGUGACAUGAAGAUAAAAAUAACUCUUUAUAAUGGGAACAUUGAUUUAUGAGUGAUUGAUCCGUUACUAACGAUUAUAAGAUAAAGUUACCUUAGGGAUAACAGCGUAAUUUUUUUUGAGAGUUCUUAUCGACAAGAAAGAUUGCGACCUCGAUGUUGGAUUAAGGAAUAUGAUUAGGUGUAGCAGUUUAAUUAAUAAGUCUGUUCGACUUUUAAAUCCUUACAUGAUCUGAGUUCAGACCGGCGUAAGCCAGGUCGGUUUCUAUCUUUAUAAAGAUAAGAUAUUUUAGUACGAAAGGACCAAAUAUCUGAAAUAUUUUCUUUGAAAUGAUAAAUAUUAAUGAGG